rnacentral:rRNA from 1 species
GACGUAGGGCGCGAGCGUUGUCCGGAUUAUUGGGCGUAAAGAGCUCGUAGGCGGCUUGUCGCGUCGUCCGUGAAAACCCACAGCUCAACUGUGGGCUUGCGGUCGAUACGGGCAGGCUAGAGUUCGGUAGGGGAGACUGGAAUUCCUGGUGUAGCGGUGAAAUGCGCAGAUAUCAGGAGGAACACCAGUGGCGAAGGCGGCUUGCUGGGCCGGACCUGACGCUGAGACACGAAAGCGUGGGGAUCAAACAGG